rnacentral:piRNA from 1 species
UGUCAUUGGAGCUGAAAUGUAGGUGUU